ACAAGCUUGGUAGGGCUUUUGGGAGUCUGUCCCAAUACAAGAAUGGUAUCGAUGAUGCAAGCCAGACAGCACUUGCAACUUUAAAAAACGCUCAGAGCCCUGCAUGUGCAACAACAUAAAUGCUUUUUCAGAUCAAGCUCUUGGUCUUAGCUGUUGUGUUUCAGCAAUAUCUGGAACAGGGUAAGUCGGUUUUCGUGGCUAACAUCUCUAAGAAGAGACAGAAGGAUAUAAUUGACGCACACAAUGCUGUGAGGGCAGGGGUAAACCCAACUGCCAGGAACAUGAUGAAAAUGAGAUGGGAUCAGGAAGCAAGUGAAACUGCUAAAAAAUGGGCUGCGCAAUGUAAAGGAAGAAUAAGUCCACCAGAAGAGCGAGUUGUGGAUGGUGAGUUAAAUGAUAUGAUCAAGGACAUUUCACAUGUUAUACAGGGGGGAUGGAUUUGCCAAAUGCUAGGCGUUGCUGGGCAAUAUGCUUUCACCGGGAUUCCCCACCUUCAGUGCUCCUACCUCUCCUCUUCUUUUUCCUUGUCUCUUGUUGGCGCUGCCCCUGGAUGCAACUAGUACCAUUUUCCAUAGAAAGAUAACAAGACGCCUUCAGGUUAUCACUCCUUCUCCUUCUCUAAGAACCAAACUAUAUGCAAUAUUUAUUGCAGUCCGUAAUGUUGUUUUCUAUAUUUUGUUCAUUAAAAUAUUUAUAUUGUGGCCUAUAACACAGACUAGACAGCAUAACAAAGAUGACAAACAAUUGAAAUGGGUUGAGAAAGCUAAAGACGGUCUAGAACACUGUACACUUUGUAAAUUGCAUCAAGCCAUUACAGCAGAGGUCCUCAAACUUUUUAAGCCGAGGGCCAGUUCACGGUCCCUCAGACUGUUGGGGGGCGGACUAUAGUUUUUUAAAAAAAAUUAACCAAUUUCUAUGCACACUUCACAUAUCUUAUUUGGAAGAAAAAUAUAACAUUUAAAAUGAAGAACAAUUUUAACCAACAUAAACUUACCAGUAUUUCAAUUGGAUGUAUAGGCCUGCUUUGGGCUAAUGAGAGAGUCAUAUUAAUUAGGAUUGUUGCUGUGUGCCUUCAAGCUGUUUCAGACUUAGUGUGACCUUAAAUCUCAAGUUUAGGGUGGGGGCUGCAUAUAACCCGUGGGUCUUAGUUUGGGGACCCCUGCUUUACAGCCUAUACAGGACCUGAUACCUAGGCUUUAUUGAAGAUGAUGAUGAUUCCAUAUUUGUCUCAAAACCAAGACCCAAGUCAGCUUACAAUUUAAAAAAGAGCAAUACAGCUGAAACAUCUAGAAAUAAGCAUUAAAAUAGUAAUAAUAAUAUUUAUUUAUCUUGUCAGAAGCAAACCAAAGGUACAAGUUGUAAUGUAUUUGAGAACACAAACAAAGUUUUAAAAACUUGGCAUUAUACUAAAUGUCUUUUGACCAGUAGCUGGCCACUUGGAGUGCCUCUGGUGUGGCUAUAAGAAGGUCCUCCAUUGUGCAUGUGGCAGGGCUCAGACUGCAUUAUAAUUGGCGGUCUGUGGUUUGCUCUUCUCCACACUCACAUGUAAUUGACUCUACUUUGUGGCCCCAUUUUUUAAGAUUGGCUCUGUGUCUUGUGGUGCCAGAGCGCAGUCUGUUCAGCUCCUUCCAACUCGCCCAGUCUUCUGUGUGUCCAGGAGGUAGCCACUCAUUUGGCAUCAGCCACUGAUUGAGGUUCUGGGUUUUAGCAUGCCACUUUUGGACUCUCGCUUGCUGAGGUGUUCCUGCGAGUACCUCUGUACAUCUUAGAAAACUAUUUCUUGAUUUAAGGUGUUGACAUCCUGUAUAAUAUACUAUAUAAUAAUGUAUAUUAUUAUUAUUUUAUUGUAUGACACAGCAAACAAGAUAGACAUGCUGGAUUUCGUAUCACAAAAUCACAAGUCGAACACUUCCCAAGUGUCUAGGACUGUGUGAUGUAUUUUCGGAUGAUGCGUGCAGAUCCCAGCAGGGUGGCCUUUUGCAAUUGGCAGAUCGUGAUUUUGUCAAUGUCUAUUGUUUCCAAAUGCCGGCUGAGAUCUUUUGGCACGGCACCCAGUGUGCCCAUCACCUGCACUGGUUUCUGCCAGAGUCUUUCCAAUUCAAUCUUGAGGUCCUGAUAGCGGCUGAGUUUUUCCUGUUGUUUUUCGUCAAUGCGACUGUCACCUGGGAUGGCGACAUCAAUGAUCCAAACCUUUUUCUUUUCCACAACUGUGAUGUCUGGUGUGUUGUGUUCCAGAACUUUGUCAGUCUGGAUUCAGAAGUCCCACAGUAUCUUUGUGUGCUCAUUCUCCAAUACUUUUGCAGGUUUGUGAUCCCACCAGUUCUUUGCUGCUGGGAGGUGGUAUUUGAGGCAUAAGUUCCAAUGAAUCAUUUGGGCCACAUAGUUGUGCCUCUGUUUGUAGUCUGUCUGUGCAAUUUUCUUACAGCAGCUGAGGAUAUGAUCCAUGGUUUCGUCGGUUUCCUUGCACAGUCUGCAUUUUGGGUCAUCAGCAGAUUUUUCGAUCUUGGCCUUAAUUGCAUUUGUUCUGAUGGCUUGCUCCUGGGCUGCAAGGAUCAGGCCUUCUGUCUCCUUCUUCAGGGUCCCAUUCGUGAGCCAUAGCCAGGUCUUCUCCUUAUCAGCUUUUCCUUCAAUUUUGUCAAGGAACUUUCCAUGCAAUGUUUUGUUGUGCCAGCUGUCAGCUCUAGUUUGUAGUGUGGUUUUCUUGUACUGGUUUUUUGUCUGCUGUGCUUUGAGGAGUUUCUGAUUUUUGACUUCAAUCAAAGCAGGUUCUUCACUUUGCUUUACAUAUUCUGCCAGGGCAUGUUCUUCUUCUUUGACUUAUUAUU
ensembl:lncRNA